GCAGCCGUAGUGUAGUGGUAACAUCGGACCCUUCCAAGGUCCUGUCUCGGGUUCGAAUCCCGACGGCUGCA
rnacentral:tRNA from 1 species